UACGAAGGGAGCUAGCGUUGUUCGGAAUCACUGGGCGUAAAGCGCACGUAGGCGGAUGUGUCAGUCAGGGGUGAAAUCCCGGAGCUCAACCUUGGAAUUGCCUUUGAUACUGAGGGCCUUGAGACCGGAAGAGGUCGGCGGAACUGCGAGUGUAGAGGUGAAAUUCGUAGAUAUUCGCAAGAACACCAGUGGCGAAGGCGGCCGACUGGUCCGGUUCUGACGCUGAGGCGCGAAAGCGUGGGGAGCAAACAGG
rnacentral:rRNA from 1 species